UAAAUAUGGGGCUCCUGGUUUUUGAGGAGAUAAAGAAAAGCUUGGAAGCCUUUCCAAAAUCAAAAAUAAGUGCGUUGGCCUUAAAUAAUUUGGAGAAAAGGUUUAAAAUUACGGAGGAGAUGGUCGUUGCGUCUAUCUUGGACCCGUCAGUCCAGCACAUUAACGCCAUCGACGAGUGGUUGACGUCUAAAAAUCUAACCAAAAUCGAUUUCCUUCUCUCACACAUUUCUGCGAGAGAGAUUGACCAAGAAAUUGAGCAACAGCCUGCUGAGCCACCAAAUACUCCAUCCUCUAGUAGGAUGGAGCUAAUUAGAAAACAUCGCGCUCAUCGCAACCCACUAAAUUCAAGACUUCAGGAUGAAUUUAAUUCCUUUAAAUUUAUCAGCGACGAUAUUGAGGAUCCACUCAAUUGGUGGAAAACCAACGGGAAAAUGUUCCCAAUUAUGAAGAGGGCAGUUCGGAAUUUGUUUUGUGUGCCACUCACGUCUGCACCAUC